AUUGAACGCUGGCGGCAUGCCUUACACAUGCAAGUCGAACGGCAGCACGGGAGCAAUCCUGGUGGCGAGUGGCGAACGGGUGAGUGAAGUAUCGGAACGUGCCCAGUCGUGGGGGAUAACGUAACGAAAGUUACGCUAAUACCGCAUACGAUCUAUGGAUGAAAGCGGGGGAUCGCAAGACCUCGCGCGAUUGGAGCGGCCGAUAUCAGAUUAGGUAGUUGGUGGGGUAAAGGCUCGCCAAGCCGACGAUCUGUAGCUGGUCUGAGAGGACGACCAGCCACACUGGGACUGAGACACGGCCCAGACUCCUACGGGAGGCAGCAGUGGGGAAUUUUGGACAAUGGGCGCAAGCCUGAUCCAGCCAUGCCGCGUGCAGGAUGAAGGCCUUCGGGUUGUAAACUGCUUUUGUACGGAACGAAAAGGUUUGACUUAAUACGUUGGACUCACGACGGUACCGUAAGAAUAAGCACCGGCUAACUACGUGCCAGCAGCCGCCGUAA
rnacentral:rRNA from 1 species